rnacentral:rRNA from 1 species
GACGAACGCUGGCGGCGUGCUUAACACAUGCAAGUCGUACGGUAAGGCCCUUUCGGGGGUACACGAGUGGCGAACGGGUGAGUAACACGUGAGUAACCUGCCCACAACUUUGGGAUAACGCUAGGAAACUGGUGCUAAUACUGGAUAUGUGCUCCUGCUGCAUGGUGGGGGUUGGAAAGCUCCGGCGGUUGUGGAUGGACUCGCGGCCUAUCAGCUUGUUGGUGGGGUAGUGGCCUACCAAGGCGGCGACGGGUAGCCGGCCUGAGAGGGUGACCGGCCACAUUGGGACUGAGAUACGGCCCAGACUCCUACGGGAGGCAGCAGUGGGGAAUAUUGCACAAUGGGCGCAAGCCUGAUGCAGCAACGCCGCGGGCGGGAUGACGGCCUUCGGGUUGUAAACCGCGUUCAGCAGGGACGAAGCUUUUUGUGACGGUACCUGCAGAAGAAGCACCGGCUAACUACGUG